UCACAUUGACACAAUCAUUGAUGAAUUGUUGCCAAAAUUGUUCUUAGAAAAAUUGUGUUUCGUACCAAAAUAAUAAUUAAAUAAAAUCAUAAUUGAUUUUGAAGCAAAAUGUGGCCCAUAAUAAUGCAAUUUUUAAGGAGCAAUGCGCCGUAUAUUACUUUACCGGUGGCUGCAAUUGUCGGCGUAAUAGGUUAUAAUUUGGAGAGCUUAUUGUCCGACCGAUAUACGCCUUAUAAUAAACCAGUGCAAGAUCAAAGAUUGGAAAGACUCACAGAUGAAGAGGUCCUUAAAGAUCCAACAAAUGUACAGAAACUCAAAUACAAAGAGAAUGUACUCGGCAAGAAUGUAUCACCAUCAUUGCAGAAAAACUAGAUCAUUUUUAAAUAGAAUUUGC